GUCCAGGGUAGCCUAGUGGACAUGGCAUAUGCUGCCCGGUAAGCGGAACACUGUGGGUACAAUUUCCAUCCCUGGGCA